rnacentral:rRNA from 1 species
AUUGAACGCUGGCGGCAUGCUUUACACAUGCAAGUCGAGCGGCAGCGCGGGGGCAACCCUGGCGGCGAGCGGCGAACGGGUGAGGAAUGCAUCGGAACGUGUCCCGUAGAGGGGGAUAGC